rnacentral:misc_RNA from 1 species
UCAAGUAACUACGCGUUAUCAAAGAUUUCUCAAAAAGUAGUUAUCAGAUCUCAAUAAAAUUUAUAUGUGACCACAUGACAAACAUCAGCUUUCGAUUAAAUUAAAAAUUAUUAAAAUCGGUACACCCAGUAAAAAGUUAUUGCGGAUUUUCAAGAGUUUCCCUCGAUUUCUCUGGGAUCCCAUCAUCAGAUCCUAGUUUCCUUAUCAUGUUACUAAACUAGGGAUAUCUCCUUUCCAACAAAAAAAGAAUUAUCAAAAUCGGUACAUCCAGUAGAAAGUUAUGUGGUAUAAUACA